GAUCCAGCCUGGGUAUAGUGUUCCUCAAGCCUUCAUUUUCCAGCAGCUAUCUAGUAAUUUUGCCAAGCCACAGGGAGCAAAAAGCCCUGGGCCAGAAUCUUCUCUUAUUUACACUGGCAUACAUUUGAAGAUGAAGCCACCAGAGUCAACAGUUUCACAACAGGGAAAGUGAUAUGAGAGCAGAGUUUGAUGAGUGCCUUUUGCUUGUCUUUCAAGGAAUUCUGAGACCACUGCUCUGCUAGGUCAUGGAUGACAGUAUGUGUUUCAACAUCUUUUGGGAGAAAGAAGGGGAAGAGUUCUGAAUGUAACUUGCUGCAUAUGCAAUCUUACAUAUGCAGCUCAUGACCCUGGCCAAGUAAAAAUUGAAAUGUAGGGAAGCCCUGAUAAAUUGCUCUUUUUUUCUCCCUCUCUUUUCCAGUAAAAAGUAUUCUGUCUGCGAUGUUGAUUGAACCUCUAAAAUGGUCUGCUUUCUUCUGUCUUUAUAAUUAGUUUCCUACUUAAUAUGUAUGUUCUUUAAUAUUUCUUUUGAUGUUUGUACACACUUUAUUGUAAGAGUCAUUGUAAGAGUGAUAAAAAUUUGCAAUAAGAUCCUAUUAGCACUUUGCUUGAGUGACAAAUAAUUGAGACACUUAUAUAUAAUUUCUGGAAAUAUUUACUCAGUUAUCCACUUUUGGGGUGCAGCUGUUUAUUUCAUAACAGUGGCCUGAAAAGGGACCACAGAUAAACUGUCAGCUUUGACUGAGUUUCAAUUGGAAACUUCAGCUUUUCAAGUGAAACUCACUGAGCUGCAUCUCCAAAUCGAGAUAUUAUUCAUAUUAAUUUAUUGGAAAAUAAAAUGUUUGAUAUUGUGUUGUA